rnacentral:rRNA from 1 species
UACGUAGGGUGCGAGCGUUACUCGGAAUUACUGGGCGUAAAGCGUGCGCAGGCGGCGCGUUAAGACAGGUGUGAAAGCCCCGAGCUUAACUUGGGAAUUGCGCUUGUGACUGGCGAGCUGGAGUGUGGCAGAGGGAGGUGGAAUUCCACGUGUAGCAGUGAAAUGCGUAGAGAUGUGGAGGAACACCGAUGGCGAAGGCAGCCUCCUGGGCCAGUACUGACGCUCAUGCACGAAAGCGUGGGGAGCAAACAGG